CGGACGGGUGAGUAACGCGUGGAUAACCUGCCGUAUACCGGGGGAUAACACUUAGAAAUAGGUGCUAAUACCGCAUAAGCGCACGGCUCCGCAUGGGGCAGUGUGAAAAACUCCGGUGGUAUACGAUGGAUCCGCGUCUGAUUAGCUAGUUGGCGGGGUAACGGCCCACCAAGGCAGCGAUCAGUAGCCGGCCUGAGAGGGUGGACGGCCACAUUGGGACUGAGACACGGCCCAAACUCCUACGGGAGGCAGCAG
rnacentral:rRNA from 1 species